rnacentral:rRNA from 1 species
UCGGGAAUUUUGGGCAAUGGGCGAAAGCCUGACCCAGCAACGCCGCGUGAGGGAUGAAGUAUUUCGGUAUGUAAACCUCGAAAGAAUGGGAAGAAUAAAUGACGGUACCAUUUAUAAGCUCCGGCUAACUACGUGCCAGCAGCCGCGGUAAUACGUAGGGAGCAAGCGUUGUUCGGAUUUACUGGGCGUAAAGGGCGCGUAGGCGGCGCGGUAAGUCACUUGUGAAAUCUCUGAGCUUAACUCAGAACGGCCAAGUGAUACUGCUGUGCUAGAGUGCGGAAGAGNCAACCGGAAUUCUUGGUGUAGCGGUGAAAUGCGUAGAUAUCAAGAGGAACACCUGAGGCGAAGGCGGGUUGCUGGGCCGACACUGACGCUGAUGCGCGAAAGCCAGGGGAGCAAACG